AGAUUGUUUCCAUGUGGAGAUGAUGGAUCAUUUAGAAGACAUCGUAUCUCAAGUACCAAGCUGUGGAGAACUGGACAAGGAGAUGUUUCUUUCUUUUCCUGCACCUGUGUCUUGCCAACAAACACUAUAUGUGCCAGUUCAUCACAAACUGAUGACAAGGAGGAGCAAGCAAUCGAUGGUCAGGUUGUGACUGCGAUGAAGGCAAUAACAACAGUACUGGAGCAAGAAAUCCCAGAGCAGCUUGACAGACAAAAACUUAUACAUGAGACAGGCAUACCUGCUUUGAAGCAUAUUUUAGAAGAUAUACAGCUGAAAGGACCAGGAAAUGUAACUUUUAAAAUUCUGGUUGUACUCUUUUUGGUUAAAUUAUGGAAAAGGCUGUGA
rnacentral:lncRNA from 1 species